rnacentral:lncRNA from 1 species
GAAGGCAGGAAAUAAGUGGAACUCCAGAGACAGAAUAAGCAAAUCCCAAGUUCAAACAAGUAUUAGUAAACACCAAAGAGGGUCAAAAGCAGGCUUCUAAUCCACCAAGCACAACUGCUUUACCAGGAACGUCAGUGAAGGAGAACAAACCAUCCAAGAUAAAGCACUCUGCCCAAAAGCAGAAGGCAGUGAGUACCCCAAAACCUUAGAAGACUCCAAUUCCCCCAUGACCCUCAAAAACUGCCAGUUAACCUGUUUCAUCUGGACACUGAAGGCCGGUUACCCCGUUACAGCUGAGCAUCAAAAGCCAGAAAUUAGAUGCAUAGGCACCUGUUUGCCCUCGGCCACCCAAAUCAAAAAAGGAUAUUCCCAGAAGUCAUUACAAAAGAAGUCUGUAGUGCACAAGGGGGGAAGUGUCUGAGACGUUCAGAGGAGACAGAUCCUCCUGAAGUGGCUCUUCUGAAAAGGGAUGCCUGCCCUGGGUAGAGUCUGCUGCUGUCCUUGAGGGAGUCUGCACAACUGCAGUGAUGACUUCUGCCCCAGAGGUUUUGCUGGCCUCCCGGGACAGAAUCACAGCAAGGGCUGGGGAAGAGACAGUGCAAUCUCCAAAGGCAGCCUAUGGAGUCAGAUGGUGUGUGGUCUGCCGAAGUCUCCCUGCAGGCAGAGGUGGUUUUGUUUACCUCCAGCUUCAUGGUAGAAGAGCCUGGAUCCAGAAAAGCAGGAAGGGCACGUCAGUGCAUUCUUCUUGCCCCCUGCUUGCAAUUUUCCACCCCUAUACCUUGAAGGUAAUAUCGAGUUCACCAAGUGAGUUCACAGAAACAAGGUCUAAUAAAGCUUCCCAUGGAAAUGG